rnacentral:rRNA from 1 species
GUGGGGAAUCUUGCGCAAUGGGCGAAAGCCUGACGCAGCCAUGCCGCGUGAAUGAUGAAGGUCUUAGGAUUGUAAAAUUCUUUCACCGGGGACGAUAAUGACGGUACCCGGAGAAGAAGCCCCGGCUAACUUCGUGCCAGCAGCCGCGGUAAUACGAAGGGGGCUAGCGUUGCUCGGAAUUACUGGGCGUAAAGGGCGCGUAGGCGGACAGUUUAGUCAGAGGUGAAAGCCCAGGGCUCAACCUUGGAAUUGCCUUUGAUACUGGCUGUCUUGAGUACGGGAGAGGUGAGUGGAACUCCGAGUGUGGAGGUGAAAUUCGUAGAUAUUCGGAAGAACACCAGUGGCGAAGGCGACUCACUGGCCCGUUACUGACGCUGAGGCGCGAAAGCGUGGGGAGCAAACAGGAUUAGAUACCCCUGUAGUCC